GAUGAACGCUGGCGGCGUGCCUAAUACAUGCAAGUCGAGCGAAUGGAUUAAGAGCUUGCUCUUAUGAAGUUAGCGGCGGACGGGUGAGUAACACGUGGGUAACCUGCCCAUAAGACUGGGAUAACUCCGGGAAACCGGGGCUAAUACCGGAUAACAUUUUGAACCGCAUGGUUCGAAAUUGAAAGGCGGCUUCGGUUGUCACUUAUGGAUGGACCCGCGUCGCAUUAGCUAGUUGGUGAGGUAACGGCUCACCAAGGCAACGAUGCGUAGCCGACCUGAGAGGGUGAUCGGCCACACUGGGACUGAGACACGGCCCAGACUCCUACGGGAGGCAGCAGUAGGGAAUCUGCCGCAAUGGACGAAAGUCUGACGGAGCAACGCCGCGUGAGUGAUGAAGGCUUUCGGGUCGUAAAACUCUGUUGUUAGGGAAGAACAAGUGCUAGUUGAAUAAGCUGACACCUUGACGGUACCUAACCAGAAAGCCACGGCUAACUACGUGCCAGCCGCCGCAGUAA
rnacentral:rRNA from 1 species